rnacentral:rRNA from 1 species
AUGAUGGACGGUGGCCGGCCGGCCGGCCUAGACGUCGGCGCACCGGCGCGGCGCGAAGCCGAGCCGGUUGAGCUCCAGGUCGUAGAGGACGUGGAAGUUCUGCUGCUGGUAGUUGCCGAUGAUGGACAUGCCGGAGCGCGGCGUGCCCAGGACGGCCAGGCACAUGAUGCCCUCCGGCUCCAGCCGGAUGAAGUAGUUCUCCGCCGGGAACUCCCACGCCGCGCCGUCCGCGAACGCCAGCGACAGCUCCGGCACCUCGAUCUUUCCGGCCCCGGACACGUUGUAGCACGGGCUCAGCACCGGGAACCCCGGGAUGAGCGGGUAGGACGGGCUCAUGCGGUCGAUGAACGCCUGCCGGAUCGCCCGGUACGCCGGCUCCGGGAAGUAGCUCAGCGUCGUGCCGGAGUCGAUGAUGGUGCCGCCGGCGGCCAGGGUGUCGGACGGGAUGUUGACCGCCUCCCCGCCCACGAGGACGGACUUGAGCUGGAGGUAGUAGAAGGUGUCCGUGCCCGUGGCCGGCGCGAAGGCCGUGUAGUUGAGCCGCGGGUGCGCGAGCAGCGCGUCGUCGUGGCCGAAGAUGACCUUGCUCCCGGCCGCGCUGCCGUGCUCCACGAGGCAGUAGGAGAAGGCGUGCCCCCCGUAGACGCCGCGCAGCUGCGACGCGAACGACAGCGGGCCGCGCCCGAGCCCCAGCAGCCCCGCCGCGCCGUGGAAGAGGCCGCGGUUGCGGUGGCCGCACCCGAACGCCACGCCGUCCACGCGCCGGGUCCCGGCGGCGCCCGUGAGGUUGACGGUGAAGGCCUCGAGGGCGAGGUCGCCGGUGGUGUUGGACUGGUCGCCGUACCAGUAGUAGUACGGGCAGGGGUCGGUCCGUGGCCUGCGGCACUCCCUGGGCGCCGCUGUCUCCGGCGGCGAGACGAGGCCGCAGCGCGCGUCGCCGCAGGUGACGUUGCGGUAGGAGGUGGACGCCGCCGGGUCGAAGACGGGCCCGCUCUGCUCGAAGCAGUCGAGGCAGGGCGCGCACUGCACCCAGUUGAGGUCACUUCCCGUGUCCAUGAUCAUCCGGAACCGGCGGGGCGGCGUGCCCACGUACACGUCCACCAGGUACUCCCCCGAGCCGACCGCCACGCCGGACUCCACCGUGGCCACGACCCGCUCCGACAACGCCCUUCUUGGCCCCGAGCCCCGCUGGGCCGCGCCGGAGCCAGACAGGGCGACUCUCCUAUGCAUCGUAUCGAUACGGACGGCGUCUUUCUCGGCCGAGUCGAGGAAGAAGGCGCCCGUCCCCGUCGCGCCCGCGGCGGCGGAGCGAUGGGUCAUGUGGAGCUUGAGCGGCGGGACCCGGCGCGCGAGCGCCUCCUCCUCGGCGACCAGCUUGCCGUCGCAGCCGGCGUCGGCGACGGGGGCGUUGAACUGCGGGAACUCGAAGCCAUACGGGGUCGCCGCCGACGCCGACGAGGAGGAGGAGAGCGCGAGGAGCAAGGCCACCAGCAGGGAGCGGUACGCGGCCAUGGUUGGUGGAGGAUGGAGAUGGAGCUGGUGGCGUCGGGAGAAUAUAAGUAG